rnacentral:rRNA from 1 species
GAGUUUGAUCGUGGCUCAGAUUGAACGCUGGCGGAAUGCUUUACACAUGCAAGUCGAGCGGCAGCGCGGGGCAACCUGGCGGCGAGCGGCGAACGGGUGAGUAAUGCAUCGGAACAUGUCCUGUCGUGGGGGAUAGCCCGGCGAAAGCCGGAUUAAUACCUCAUACGUCCGAGAGGAGAAAGUGGGGGACCGCAAGGCCUCACGCGAUUGGGUUGGCCGAUGUCCGAUUAGCUAGUUGGUGGGGUAAAGGCUCACCAAGGCGAUGAUCGGUAGCUGGUCUGAGAGGAUGAUCAGCCACACUGGGACUGAGACACGGCCCAGACUCCUACGGGAGGCAGCAGUGGGGAAUUUUGGACAAUGGGGGCAACCCUGAUCCAGCCAUUCCGCGUGAGUGAAGAAGGCCUUCGG